CUCUUGUUAUAUUUGCCUUUUGGUGCGAAACUGGUUUGUUUGGAAAAAAUGGCUGCUGCCAUGAUGGUGCCUUUUUCACAUCUUCUGCAAGUUUAUGUGACGACCUGUUUAAAGUUUAACAUUGACACGCGGAGAUGAUGCCAAUGAUUCACCAUUAGAAGAUAUGACGGUAACAGUGGUCCAGAACUUGGCUCAACCAGAGUUCCACCAACAUUGCAACAUGCACACAACCAGCAAAACAUACCAAGACUGCCGAAUGUUUGGUCAGGAAAAAGCAUCCCACAAUGUUGCGACAGGCCCAUGUUUCAGUUUAUCGAGACUAGUCGUGAAACACAGACUUCUGAUUCAUGUAGUGCGGCAAACAUAUCUGUGCGACUCGUUCACUCCACUGUAAAGACCCGCACGGCAUUAAAAUGGAUAUCAUCCGACGUUUGCAAACGAUGGCUGCAUGAGGUCUGCGUCUCACAACCUACAUCCCAAGAUAGCUUUGUGUGUGAUGUUUGUAUUGCACAAUAUAGUUGAUGUAUUGAAACCAGGCUUUAAAAAUAAAUCAAGGUCAACUACAAUUUAAAAUUAAAACUAGAAAUGGCGCGGCAGAGGCCGACGAGUAUCCCCACGCCGCAUGUUUGACCCAGGGGCGCCCUAGGUUUGGUAAUGGGGCCAUGCAUAGUCGAGGCUUUGUUGAUUCUGGUGGCGGUGAAAAUGUUAAAAUCGAAGUCCUUAAUACAAGAGUAAAAUUCACUUGGAUUUAGGUCCUCAUCCUGCUCUCCUAAAAAAUCUAAUACUGAAUCAUCUUCACUGACGUCCAUUAUGUACAUAUCAUCCUCAUUGGAAUGAGAUGGCUGAACUUGCUCUGUUAUAGCCAAUCUUCAUGCUUCUGCUUUGGAAAAGUUAUGUUUUGAGGUUAAAUGGUUGACUAAAUAGUAGCGUCUCAGAAAUUUUAUAUCGCAAUCUUGUACACAACAAUGAAAAUGUUAAAUUUCAUGUCUGUCAUUGAUGUGCCUGU